AUUGUGCGCCGCCCUAUGGGACUCCCGGUCACGGCCGGUGAUAAAGUGUUCCACCCAUUGUUCUUCAGCCAGUACAAUCCAUCUCUUAUCUACAAUAAUCACAGCCCCUCUCUUCUAUUCAACAACAACUGGUGAUAAGGAAGGAUGCUGGAUUCUGGAGAGAUCUUGGGUUUGGAAAGUAUAGGUCUGAUUUCAUCAACAUAGGUGGGUUUGACCGGAACACCAAAGGCUGAGGUUUGGAGGAUGUUCACCUGUACAGAAAGUACCUGCACAGCAAGCUGAUGGUGAUUCGCUCUCCCUCCCGAGGCCUCUUCCACUUGUGGUAUGAGAAGCAGUGUGCAGACGAGCUGCCGCCAGACAAGUAUAAGAUGUGUAUGCAGACCAAGGCAAUGAGCGAGGUCUCUCACAGCCACCUGGGGAGCUGUUCUUCACACAGGAGAUCCAGGGGCAUCUGGAGAGGUAAAAACUAGAAACUGCCCCACAACCACAUAUCUAAGAUCAGACUUCCCUACCGCUUAUCCUAACCUUAACCAUUAGGGGGUUACACAAUAUCUGACCCUGGACCAGUGGUUAGGGUAAUGAAAUCAAAACACCUGGAGAGGAGAGACAUCGUCUGGGUUAUGUUGAGAGAACAAUGUCUUUCUCCUUCUACAGACUAAACACAGGGCCUGACGAGGGAGAGUAUAGGGAUGAGACAUGAACUUUGUCAUGACAUGACAGAAACUUGAUUGAAAUUUUUCAAAAUGGUGAUGUUAUGUAGCCAUACUAACUCAUUGUAUGUCCGCUAUUGCCAUCUUCCUUCCUGUACUGAGUCUGAAAGCAGGGAGGUCCGAAUAAUAUUUUACUGUCUUUGUUGU